rnacentral:rRNA from 1 species
UACAGAGGGUGCGAGCGUUGUUCGGAAUUAUUGGGCGUAAGGGCGCGGAGGGCGGGCGGUAUGGCACCUGUGAAAUCUCCUGGCUCAACUGGGAGCUUGCAGGCGAAACUGCCGUGCUGGAGUGUGGGAGAGGUGCGUGGAAUUCCUGGUGUAGCGGUGAAAUGCGUAGAUAUCGCUUGGAACGCCAAAGGUGAAAACAGGUUGCUGGGGUUGUGCCGACGCUGAGACACGAAAGCCAGGGGAGCAAACGGG